AAUUCAUUUAAAAAUCAUUUAAAAAUCAAUUAAAAAAUGGCAAAAAAAUCAGUAAAAAAUCAUUAAAAAGUCACUAAAAAUUGUUAAAAAAUCAUAAAAAAUCAUUAAAAAAUCAUUAAAAAAUCCCAAAAAAAUCCCCAAAAAUCCCCAAAAAAUCCCCCAAAAUUCCCCAAAAAUUCCCUAAAAUUUCCCUCAUUUUUUCCCAUUUUUUCCCUCAGGUUUCCCUGUUUUUCCCCGUUUUGUACCUGCUCUUCUGGGGGGCCCUGUUGGUGUUCUCGUCCGGGGGGGCCACAAACCCCCCCAGAUCCGGCGUUUAGUAGCCUCGGGGACCCUUUUCCUGCAGCGCCUUUGCCUCCCCCACCUGAAGGAAAAAACCACCCAAAACGACCCAAAAUUGACCCAAAAAUACACAAAAAAUACCCCAAAAUACCCCCAAAAAUCACCACAAAAAUAACCCCAAAAUACCCCAAAAAUUACCCACAAAAUACCCCAAAAAUACCCCAAAAAAUCACCCAAAAAUACCCCCAAAAAUACACAAAAAAUACCCAAAAAUACCCCCAAAAUCACCACAAAAUACCCCAAAAAUACCCCCAAAAAAGAGGCAAAAUAAGCCCAAAAAUUACCCCCAAAAUACACCAAAAAUACCCCAAAAUACCCCAAAAAUAUCCAAAAAAUACCCCAAAAAUAACCCAAAAAUUACCCCAAAAACACCCCAAAAAUCACUCAAAAAAUACCCAAAAAAUAACCCCAAAAUACCCCAAAAUAACCCCAAAAAUAACCCCAAAAUACCCCCAAAAUAACCCCCAAAAUACCCAAAAAAUACACAAAAAAUACCCCAAAAAUCACCACAAAAUGCCUCAAAAAUACCCCAAAAAUAACCCCCAAAAAUCACCAAAAUGACCCAAAAAUAACCCCAAAAAAUGGGGCAAAACGACCCAAAAGUAACCCCCAAAAUGCCCCAAAAAGAGAGAAUUUUGGGGGAUCUGGGGUGGAAAUUUGGGGGAAAAAAUGGGGGGAAUUUGGGGGAAUUUGGGGAAAAUUUGGGGGGGAAAUGGGCAAAAAUUUGAGAAAAAAAAGGUCAAAAUUUGGGUAAUUUUGGGUGGAAAUUUAGGGGGAAAAUGGGAGAAAUUUGGGGGGAAUUUUGGGGGGAAAUGGGGGAAUUUUGGGAGAAAAUUUGAGGGGAAAAUGGGUAAAAUUGAGGGAAUUUGGGGGAAAAAUUGGAGAAAUUUGGAGGGGAUUUGAGGGAAAUUUGGGGGAAUUUUGGGGGGAAUUUUGGGGGAAUUUGGAGGAAUUUGGGGAAAAUUUGAGGGAAAAAAGAGGUCAAAAUUUGGGGAAAUUUUGGGGGGAAUUUGGGGGAAUUUUGGGGGGAAUUUGGGGGAAUUUUGGUGGAAUUUUGGGUGGAAUUUGGGGGGAAUUUUAGCGGGGAAAUUGGGGAAAUUUUUUGGGGCGGAAUUUUUGGGGAUUUUGGGGGAAUUUUGGUUGGAAUUUUGGGGGGAUUUGGGGAAUUUUUUGGGGGGAUUUGGGGAAUUUGGUGGAAUUUUGGUGGGAAUUUUGGGGAUUUUGGGGGAUUUUUGGGGAAUUUUGGGGGGAAUUUUGGAGUGGAAUUUUUGGGGGGAAUUUUUGGAGGAAUUUUGGGGGUGAUUUUGGGGGAAUUUUGGAGGGAAUUUGGAGGAAUUUUGGGGUGAAUUUUGGGGGAAAAUGGGUAAAAUUUGGGGGAAUUUUGGGUGGAAUUUGGGGGAAUUUGGGGUGGAAAUUCGGGGGGAAAAUGAGCCCCUCCCCCCUGAGCUGCCUUAAACCCCUCCCCCUCCUCCGCUGGCCACGCCCCCUUUUCCCCCGUUUUGUUUUUGUAGGGUCGCCAAAAAAAGAAAAAACCCCCAAAAAACAACAACGAAAAAACCCGAAAUGAAAUAAAAGAAAAUAAAAAAUUUGGGAGGAAUUUUGG
ensembl:lncRNA